rnacentral:rRNA from 1 species
UACAGAGGGUGCGAGCGUUAAUCGGAAUUACUGGGCGUAAAGGGCGCGUAGGCGGCCUGCUAAGUCGAACGUGAAAUCCCUGGGCUCAACCCAGGAACUGCGUCUGAUACUGGAUGGCUUGAAUCCGGGAGAGGGAUGCAGAAUUCCAGGUGUAGCGGUGAAAUGCGUAGAUAUCUGGAGGAAUACCGGUGGCGAAGGCGGCAUCCUGGACCGGCAUUGACGCUGAGGAGCGAAAGCCAGGGGAGCAAAGCGGG